AACUUUUAAAUAGCUUCAUUUAUUGCAUUUAUUUGUUUAGACAAGCAGCACAUGAAUACACGUUGUACAGGUUCCAGCCAGCCAGUCAUAAUGGAUGAAGGAUAUGACAUACGUCUGCAUUCCGGAAUCAUUUUAAAUAUUUUGCUUUCUUAGGCCCCAUACGCGUUUCACCACAAAACUCCUUUCUGUUGGCCAGCAAAAUAUUGAUAUCCAUUCUAACACAGUGAAUAUAUUAUUACCGGUUUCAAAAUCUUUGUAUUGUGAGAAAUGGAUAAAGCAUGUAUAAGUCUUGAUAGAAUAUGGCUUUUUAUUAUAUAUAGUCCAUAAUACAUGUUCAUACAUGUUAAUCUUUACAUACAGCGGAUUUGCGAAACGCGCCGUCUGAAACCAUAUGACAGACAUUGCUGGCAAGCAUAGAUUAAAGUCUUUCUGUAAAAAAUAAAUUAGUUAUAUUUUAUAAAGCAUUUCAAGCUAUGCAAACAUCAGAUCAAUAUCAUUAUAUUACAAGGUACAAUAUUUUGCCAAACAUUGUAAAAUAACUUUUUUUUUUAUAUAUAUAUAUAGUAACUUUCUUCAACAAACUAAGCUAACCCGUUUUUAAUUUUCUCCCUUUUGAUCCUAUGUAUGGAGUACAGUAACACACAGGCAUUGCUAUUUAAAGAACCAUGCAACAUUUCAGAUGGUGAGCUUUGUAGCAGCUAUAAGUUGCAAUAUGUUAUAAUAUUAAAAGGUGUAUUUUAUACAUUUUAAAUAAGAAUUCUCAAGAUAUAUGUGAUCUUUAUUGACAUAUAAAAGAGCAUUGAAGACAUCUCACUGAGAACCAUCUCAUAAGUUUCAUGUUAUGAUCCAACAGCGAUUUGAGGUUAUUUUAAAGGGCAGGAAAUGCAACAGGAGGAAACAUAUCAAUGUCUCAUAAGGCCAUCAAAAUAAUUCAUUACCUACUGCUAUCAAAAAUGGUCCAUUUAGGAAAGAGAUUGGUUGGAGGGAAGACAAGUGUAUUGUUUGGUAAACCUCCUCAGAACACCUUGUCAAUAGUGAUGUCGCGAACCGUCUGCGAACUUGCCGCGAACGGUUUGCCGCGGUUCACGGCGAACUCCGGUCAGCUGACACAUCCCUGCCAAUCUCCGGCAGACCCUCC
rnacentral:lncRNA from 1 species